AUUGAACGCUAGCGGCAUGCCUUACACAUGCAAGUCGAACGGUAACAGGUCUUCGGAUGCUGACGAGUGGCGAACGGGUGAGUAAUACAUCUGAACGUGCCUAGAAGUGGGGGAUAACUACUCGAAAGAGUGGCUAAUACCGCAUGCGCUCUACGGAUGAAAGCAGGGGAUCGCAAGCCCUUGUUCUACUGGAGCGGCAGCUGGCAGAUUAGGUAGUUGGUGGGAUAAAAGCUUAACAAGUCGACGAUCUGUAGCUGGUCUGAGAGGACGAUCAGCCACACUGGGACUGAGACACGGCCCAGACUCCUACGGGAGGCAGCAGUGGGGAAUUUUGGACAAUGGGCGAAAGCCUGAUCCAGCAAUGCCGCGUGCAGGAUGAAGGCCUUCGGGUUGUAAACUGCUUUUGUACGGAACGAAAAGCCCCGGGUUAAUACCCUGGGGUCAUGACGGUACCGUAAGAAUAAGCACCGGCUAACUACGUGCCAGCCGCCGCCGUAA
rnacentral:rRNA from 1 species